GGAAUAUUGCGCAAUGGGGGAAACCCUGACGCAGCGACGCCGCGUGAGUGAGGAAGGCCUUCGGGUCGUAAAGCUCUGUCAGAUGGGAAGAAAUGUAUAUGAGUUAAUACCUCCUAUAUUUGACGGUACCAUCAAAGGAAGCACCGGCUAACUCCGUGCCAGCAGCCGCGGUAAUACGGAGGGUGCAAGCGUUGUUCGGAAUCACUGGGCGUAAAGGGCGCGCAGGCGGUCUGUCAAGUCAGAUGUGAAAGCCCACGGCUUAACCGUGGAAGUGCAUUUGAAACUGGCAGUCUUGAGUAUCAGAGGGGAAGGUGGAAUUCCCGGUGUAGAGGUGAAAUUCGUAGAUAUCGGGAGGAAUACCGGUGGCGAAGGCGACUUUCUGGCUGAAUACUGACGCUGAGGCGCGAAAGCGUGGGGAGCAAACAGGAUUA
rnacentral:rRNA from 1 species